rnacentral:rRNA from 1 species
GAUGAACGCUAGCGGCAGGCUUAAUACAUGCAAGUCGAGGGGGCAGCAAUGUCACCGGCGGACGGGUGCGUAACGCGUAUGAAACCUACCUUUAUCAGGGGGAUAGCCCGGGGAAACCCGGAUUAAUACCGCAUAAUAUAGAUUAAGGCAUCUAAGUUUAUUGAAAGAUUUAUCGGAUAGAGAUGGUCAUGCGUAGGAUUAGCUAGUUGGUAAGGUAACGGCUUACCAAGGCGACGAUCCUUAGGGGCUCUGAGAGGAGUAACCCCCACACUGACACGGAGAUACGGGCCAGCCUCCUACGGGAGGCAGCAGUAGGGAAUAUUGGGCAAUGGGCGAGAGCCUGACCCAGCCAUGCCGCGUGCAGGAAGACGGCCCUCUGGGUUGUAAACUGCUUUUGAAUGGGAAGAACGGUAGGCCUGCGGGCUUAAUUGACGGUACCAUUAGAAUAAGCCACGGCUAACUACGUGCCAGCCGCCGCAGUAAGAC